rfam:Pongo abelii chromosome 7.
GGGGGUAUAGUUCAGGGGUAGAGCAUUUGACUGCAGAUCAAGAGGUCCCUGGUUCAAAUCCAGGUGCCCCCU